rnacentral:rRNA from 1 species
GACGAACGCUGGCGGCGUGCCUAAUACAUGCAAGUAGAACGCUGAAGAGAGGAGCUUACUCUUCUUGGAUGAGUUGCGAACGGGUGAGUAACGCGUAGGUAACCUGCCUUGUAGCGGGGGAUAACUAUUGGAAACGAUAGCUAAUACCGCAUAACAAUGGAUGACACAUGUCAUUUAUUUGAAAGGGGCAAUUGCUCCACUACAAGAUGGACCUGCGUUGUAUUAGCUAGUAGGUGAGGUAAUGGCUCACCUAGGCGACGAUACAUAGCCGACCUGAGAGGGUGAUCGGCCACACUGGGACUGAGACACGGCCCAGACUCCUACGGGAUGCAGCAGUAGGGAAUCUUCGGCAAUGGGGGCAACCCUGACCGAGCAACGCCGCGUGAGUGAAGAAGGUUUUCGGAUCGUAAAGCUCUGUUGUAAGUCAAGAACGGGUGUGAGAGUGGAAAGUUCACACUGUGACGGUAGCUUACCAGAAAGGGACGGCUAACUACGUG